rnacentral:rRNA from 1 species
UGAAUACGAGACGCUAAGGCGUCGAAGUAGUGUAUGUCAUACUUCCAAGAAAAGCUUGCACUGUCAUAGAUAAAAAACGCCUGUACCAUAACCGACACAGGUGGGUAGGUAGAGUAUACUAAGGGGCGCGAGAUAACUCUCUCUAAGGAACUCGGCAAAAUAACUCCGUAACUUCGGGAGAAGGAGUGCCUUAUUCUUAAGGUUGCAAUAACAAGAUCCAAGCAACUGUUUAUCAAAAACACAGGUCUCCGCUAAGUCGUAAGACGAUGUAUGUGGGCUGACGCCUGCCCAGUGCCAGAAGGUUAAAGAAGCUGGUUAGCAUUUGCGAAGCUAGUAACUGAAGCCCUGGUGAACGGCGGCCGUAACAAUAACGGUCCUAAGGUAGCGAAAUUCCUUGUCGGGUAAGUUCCGACCCGCACGAAAGGCGUAAUGAUUUGGAUACUGUCUCGGAGAGGGGCUCGGUGAAAUAGACUUGUCUGUGAAGAUGCGGACUACCUGCACCAGGACAGAAAGACCCUAUGAAGCUUUACUGUAACUUGAAAUUGAAAUUGGACUUUAUUCGCGCAGUAUAGGUGGGAGGCGUUGAUUAUAAUCUUGCGGGAUUAUUGGAGCCAUUAGUGAGAUACCACUCUUGUAAUGUUAGAUUUCUAACUUUGAAUCAUUAUCUGGUCAAAGAACAGUUUCAGGCGGGCAGUUUGACUGGGGCGGUCGCCUCCCAAACGGUAACGGAGGCGUACAAAGGUUUCCUCUGAACGGUUAGAAAUCGUAUCUAGAGUGUAAAGGCAUAAGGAAGCUUGACUGUGAGACCUACAAGUCGAGCAGGGACGAAAGUCGGUCUUAGUGAUCUGACGGUACUGAGUGGAAAGGCCGUCACUCAACGGAUAAAAGUUACUCUAGGAUAACAGGCUGAUCUCCCCCAAGAGUUCACAUCGACGGGGAGGUUUGGCACCUCGAUGUCGGCUCAUCGCAUCCUGGGGCGGUAGUACGUCCCAAGGGUUGGGCUGUUCGCCCAUGAAAGCGGUACGCGAGCUGGGUUCAGAACGUCGUGAGACAGUUCGGUCCAUAUCCGGUGUAGGCGUUAGAAUAUUGAGAGGAGCCUUCUUUAGUACGAGAGGACCGAGAAGGACAUACCUCUGGUGUACCAGUUAUCGUGCCAACGGUAGACGCUGGGUAGCUAUGUAUGGAGUGGAUAACCGCUGAAAGCAUCUAAGUGGGAAGCCCACCUCAAGAUAAG